AAUAUUAUGAAAGAUAUUGAAAAAUGCUGGUCCCUUUUCAUGUUUCGCAAAAUGUAAAAAUUGUGACUUUCUUCUAUUUUUGUGUGUUUGAGUGCGGGUUGCAUACUCUAGCCCCUGAAAAAUAUGAAAUAUUUCACAGCCUCGUGAAAUUUCAUGAAAUAUUUCACUGAAAUUUCCAAUCUUUCAUUUCUUUCCGAAUUUUACUUCUUGAUUUUUAACAAGGUAGCGUGAACGGUCCCAUUAAAAAUUAUCGUACACAACAUUGUUACACUUAUACCUUUAAUGUGAUUUAUGUCCAGGUUCUUUAUGAACGGUUACUUGACGGUCGGAUACGAAUUCGGAGCCGAGUUGACGUACCCUCACUCCGAGAGCACGUCAUCCGGGCUAUUAAACGCUGCUGGUGAAGUUUGCGGUGUAACGAGUGUGCUCGUAGCAGGAGCCGUCUUCGAGAAUUACGGGGACUUUGCGACGGAUCUGGGCCUGAGUGCAAUGCUCCUGCUAGGUCUCUCCUUUCAAUUUUCAUCGACGGCAGUCAUCUUCGAAGGCAAGAGGCAAGCAGAAGACCUGUCUACGUCACUCCAGUUAUCGCCAACAUGACGUCAGACUCCAUCGACUCCAAACCGAGGAAGUAUUCAAAAUGACAACCGCAGAAACCCGCCUGACAUAAACAAUAUUUGAUGUCGCUCAUUUUUUCAUCGCCUCAAGGCUUAUCAGUGGCUAUCCUUGCAAAUUGGUAACAUUAGCUUUCCUCCACAUAAAUGCAUUGGAAACGUCAUUUCAAUGUAAUUGUAUCUCAAAAUAUUGGUUAUUUUACACGUUGUGUUUAGAAUAAGUUAUCAUUACUCAUACUUUGUACAGUGUGUACAUACUCAAUGUUCUGUUAAUUAGAGACUUUUAUUUUUACACGUCGAAGACCUUUUAUUUCCUAAAAAAGACCUUUUCAGCAGCGAUCAAAGGGAUAGUGUUUCAAAAUCUCAUUUCCGAUUUUAAUUUUUGGAAGAAAACCAAUCGAAAUUUCGCUUAAAAUUAUGAGGAAAUAACCUUCGGAUGGCCAAAAUAAAUUGCAAGGAUUUUCGAGUAGGGAUGUUCCCAACCCACUGAUGAGUUAACAGUUACUUUCGUCCAAAGAUAUUAAAGAGGAGAUGAGAUUUUGAAACAUAUAGAUGUGACCAUUUUUCCACACUCUUUCCAAAUGCCAAUAGAGAGAGGGCGGAAAGUCCGUUGCGACAUUUUUACGACAGGGCAACUUUACACUGGGUUUUACAAUAAUUUACAAAAUUAGAGGGUAUCCUGAUUUACCAU
rnacentral:lncRNA from 1 species